rnacentral:lncRNA from 1 species
AAUACGUAACACUAGGCAUAAAUGCCUUAAAGAAAGGACUGAUGUCCCCUGAAGAAGAGAGAAUUCUGCCUCCAGAUUGCUUUACAACUUGCACUGGAACAUCAGCUGUUCUCUAGGUCUCAAGUCUGCUGCUCUAACCUACAAAUUUUGGACAUGCCAAUCUCCACAGUCACAUGGGCCAAUUCCUUAGUUUCUCUGGAGAAUCCUGACUAAUGUAUGCAAUGUCUUUAUUUCAUCCUCAUUCUUAAAGGAUAUUUUCAUCAGCAACACCACACCCUCCUGAUCACCAUAGCUUUAUGGAAGCAAUUGUCCAAUUAUUAGUGAAAUUGUCAUUUCAUGCUAUCGGCUAUUUGAAAUUCCUCCUCUAAUUUCAGAUUAACUCACUGAAAUUGACAUCGGCCAGUCUGAAUUUCAAGAAAUUACCUGCUGGAGACAAGAGGGAUCUCUUCUUCAGAUUUGCAGUCUGGGGAAGACAGCCUCUAUUGUACUUUAGAACCUGAGAUAUGGUGGUGGAGGGAGCCCUGGGUCAGUAGGAGUGGGGUCGGAGUGGUAAGAUUCACCCUUAGGUUAGUAUUGACGUAAGGUGACGAGGAGCUGUAGACAAAAGAUUGUAACCAUAAGAACUUCAUAGUUUUUGUAUUUUCACUGAGUUUAUAUUUGGUGUGUUUUUUGUCUUUUCUUUAUGAUUAUCAAUAAAACGCUUGAAACGAGAUGAGUUUGGGGAAUAAUUUUUGGGAAUACCACAAAAGACACUUUUGUGAUGGAAAUCCUUAAAAACACACAAUCCAUUACCUCAUUGGGUUCAAAAGGCAAUUGUGAACUACUGUGGAGUUUGGAAAGAAGCAAUGAGGUAAUCAAGGAUACUGUUGAAAAUCUAGCUUAUCCUAUGGAUGGAAGGAAAUUGAAACUAAUGGAGGGGAGGCUGGUAAAACAAUAGGGUUUGAGACAAUUCUGUGGCAUUAGAAAUGAAAGAGGAAGGUGAAUCCAGGAGACGGAGCUUGCAGUAAGCUGAGAUCGCGCCACUGCACUCCAGCCUGGGCGACAGAGCAAGACUCCAUAUCAAAAAAAAAAAAGAAAGAAAGAAAGAAAAGAAAGAGGAAGUAAUAAUCUGUGAAAUUUUUCCUUAGGAACUUAUUGGCAAUUUAAAAAAUGAAUUUGUUAAGCCAUGCUGGUUCUGACCCAAAAGCCAUUCCCCAGCCUUCCUCACUCCCCUCUCUACUGGC